UUCUGAUUGUUUCCUUCCCUUUGCUCUCUCUUCCAAACUCGACAAUUUUUCUUCAUAUGGCUUUCUUUGCCACAAUGGUGGCAUGCACCCCUGAACCUUGACUUGGAUCGGCUAGGACUCCUGCCAUGACCUCUAGGUCCUCUACUCUUGCUUCUUCCGCGGUUCUCUGUGACAAAUACUUGGCUGCUAUCUGUGCCAGAAGUCUUUCUC
rnacentral:lncRNA from 1 species